AGGGAACAGGCGGCGAGAGGAAACGCGCAGCGGGGCUCAGUUGAGCAAAGCGGCUGCUCUCACCAGCGCAAUGGCCACCUCAGUUGGGGACACAUGGGGCGCCAUGUCCUCCUCUCGGAACAGCAGGACUGGUGCGAGGUGUCUGGGCGGUGAUGCAACUUGGCGCGGUGAUGCAGGUUAGCGCUGCCCCUGCCGCAGGCCGCCAUGGACCGCACAGACCCAGAGGGUCGCGAAGCACAAAGAGCGCUGUCUCUAGAAAACUCCAAUGCUAACUCAACAGGGAAGACCCCCACGGGUGGCUUUCAGCCAUGCAAAUGAAUCUUCCAACCGCAUUAUGAAACCAUCAACGACUCCAGUUUCCUCAGUCUCAAAGAAUGGGACAGUCACCACCGGUGAAACCCAUAGUAACAUCUAAAAUGACAACAGGGGUCUCAACAGAUAUAACUUCCACCACCUUAGCGUCUACACCCAAAAUAACAAGUGUUUCGAAAAACAUCCCGGAUGUCAAUCAACACCCACAAUGACUACAACCCACAGUAGUUACGUGACAUUUGUUUCUUCAUCGGUAACAAUUACAGCAACUCUUAACUCUAAAGAAAAUAAAAGAUCAAAAUUUGAUACUGGCAGCUUUGUUGGUAGUAUUAUAUUAAAUUAUGGAAUUUAAUCUAUGCUUUACAUUGGAUGCAAAAUGUACUAUUCAAGAAGAGGCAUUUGUUAUAGACCCAUCUGUGAACAUGAUGCCAUCAUUUAAGGAAAUCCAAGAACCAACGGAAAGAAGAAAGAUUGAUGCAGCCCAGUCAAUUAACUUUGUUUUAUUGUUAGUUUAAAACAAUAUUCUCUUCUUGAAAAGAGUAUUAACGAGCCAGCGCAUAUAAUGUACAAUGUAUUAUAUGAAUGUGUAAAGCUUCCUCACGAUUACUAAAGGCAAAAAGGAUUUGGAUUUUUUGUGUGUGUGGGUGCUUUUUGGUUUUUUUUGCCACGCGACAUGCAGGAUCCCAGUUCCCCGACCAGGGAUGGAACCCGUGCCCCCUGCAGUGGAAGCGCAGAGUCUUAACCACUGGACUGACAAGAAAGUCCCUGGUUUGACUUUUUUUUUUGUCUGUGUUGGGCCUUCGUUGCUGUGAGCGGUCUUCCUCUAGUUGCGGUGAGUGGGGGCUACUCUUCGUUGCGGUGCGCAGGCUUCUCAUUGUGGUGGCUUCUCUUGUUGCGGAGCAUGGGCUCUAGGCACGCAGGCUUCAGUAGUUGUGGCAUGUGGGCUCAGUAGUUGUGGCUCACGGGCUCUAGAGCUCAGGCUCAGUAGUUGUGGUGCAUGGGCUUAGUUGCUUCGUGGCAUGUGGGAUCUUCCCAGACCAGGGCUUGAACCCGUGUCCCCUGCAUUGGCAGGUGGAUUCUUAACCACUGUGCCAACAGGGAAGCCCCAAACCAGGUUUUAAGCAUAAUUUUAGUUUCAAUGUCUCUUCAGAAUGCAUCACUAUUUUAUAUGUUUUAAAGCUUAGUACUUGAUUUGUGUGUGUGUGUGUGUGUGUGUGUGUGUUUGCCACGAGGCUUGUGGGAUCUUAGUUCCCUGACCAGGAUGGAACCCGUGUCCCUUGCAGUGGAAGUGCAGAGUCCUAACCACCACUGGACCACCAGCAUAGGUGAACAGGGUGUGCCAAUAAGUAAAAGUUCAUCAGGACUGAGGAGGGAUCGUUUCUUUGAAGAGGGAACUUAGAAAGAAAAACACAUACACACACUUUGUAAAUAUCCUGAAAAUUGAGGAUGUUGUUCUUCCUGUCCACUGCAGCUACUUCUCUUUUCUGAGACAUCGAUUUCUAUAUAACUUGUUCAGUUCCCUUGGCUUUGACACUUGUAGAUCUGGAAUGUGGAAGUACCCUGAAUGAUGAUGAUGAUUUAACAGCUUGAGAUAAACAUUUGAUGAACUUUCAGA